rnacentral:lncRNA from 1 species
ACAUGUGAAGGAAGCUGCACACCAUGUGAAGGAAGGUUAGCUCAUGCACUACUUGUAUCAUUUCAUGCAUUUCUUCCCUAAGAGAAGAGAGUUCAUUGGAAUUUACUUCCUUAAUAGUCUAUGAGUCAUAGAAUAUUCAAGUAGAAAGUGGGAAAAAUAAUUUUGAAAAUCAAGUCGCAGUAGUCGACCUACCUAGCAGAGCACGAAUAAUUGAUUUUUGAUGCUGGAAUUUUGCCUAAUCUCGUUAGUCUGUUGAAGAGGCACAUAUAUGCUUAGAACUUUAGAGAUGUCCAUGGUGUUAUUCGGCAGACAACUGAUGCAGUAACAAACCUUGCUCCUGAAACAGUAGAAUCUAAACUGGUGUUAGGUUCGUUUAUUCUUAUAUGAUAAUAUUGUAAAUGCAGAAUGUGUAGAAAAAAGACCUAUUUAUCUUACUUAAUCUAUAUGUUGUGACUAUAGCAUUGAAGGUGGUAUCCCUCCACUUUUUGAGUUGAUUGAAUCUGUUUAUUCAAAGGUGUAGAGAGCAGCUGCAUGAUGCUUAUGAACAUAUUUAAGAAUGGUGAAAACAAGAGUAAAAGGGUCAGUAAAACAAGAGCAAAACUGGACAUCACAUAGCUACUUGCAGAUUAUCCGACUUAUGGUAUAUUGAGCAUCAUAGCACAGAUAAUACAAGUUGUUUGAGAUCAAGGAGGAGAAGAAAUUAAAAGACUCAAGCAGGCAAGCAUUUGGUACUUUUAGAUCCACUUAAUAACCAAAUUUAUAACACUAAGUUGUGCACAUCCAAGAAAGACUCAACCUUGCAAGCAUUUGGUACCAAGAGUCAUAAAAAACACACACACACAACAAACAGAACAAUAAAAAAUCUAACAUAAACAUAAAAGAAAGGUUAUAACCUGAACAAAGAUUCUCUUUUCAUUGUAGACAGCUUCACCGGGUACCAAUUCUUAGUACAAAGAUCAUCUUCC